CCAACUUGCUUCUUGGUCAUGAUGUUUGUGCAGGAAACAAAACCCUGAUUAAGACAAUACUUUUUCAAGAUCUGGUAGGCUAAGGUAUGCAAGCAUAAUAUCAUCCAUGAAAUGGACUGCAAAGACAUCCCUGGGGACUCCUGUAUGGCUUUAGCCUGACAAAUUGCUGGACUAUUUUCACACCUGUGGCAGAACUGCUCACUGAUAUAUUUUAGCUGGUUAGUUCAUAUUAGGCUCUCAUCUAUUCUGAAGAAAAAUGGCAUCUAUUCUGGGAAACGAGAGGGAUUUGGAUAAAAGCAAUCCUUAAUAUCUAAGUAUGUGGUACUUGGGUGGAAUAGCACUAGAGAGAGGCAGUCCCACUUGAGUGUUCAUCACUUUUUCCAUAUGUUCAUUAACAGCUCUCAGAUCCUCGAGAAGCCUACAUUUCCCUGAUUUCUUCUGAAUUACAAAAAAUAUUUAUGAUGAUGAUGAUAAUGAUGAUGAUGAUGAUGAUGAUGAUGAUAAAAAGUAUUAUGUAUGCUGCUCAAGGAUUCCAAAAGGCUCUAAGAUAUUUGCUCCAAGACUAGUUCUCUGGAAACAAAAAGCCUAGGUUCCAAAAUGGGCCACUGAUCCACCCGGAUGUCAGCUUCACACUGCCAGGCCAAAGGUAUAAGGUCAGGUACCUUGAUGUCAAUUGAGGUUGGGUGGAGAGCCGCCAUUAUAUUUGGGGGGUAAUCCCUGACUUUGUGACCUGUACAGUCCAGUUUGUCUUGUUGCAUAAUCUCAUC
rnacentral:lncRNA from 1 species